ensembl:snoRNA small nucleolar RNA SNORA81
CCCUUCUUUUAAAAGCGCCAUACUAAAAUCACCAGCUCAAGGCCUUCUGGUCUUGCUCUGGUGUUCAUGCUAGUACUGGUUAAUCUUAAAGAAGGUAGAGCAAAAGCACACGGUUGGAAAUGAGUCUAGGAAGGACCUCUUUCUUAAUGUCCGGUGUCCAAGGUCUCAAGAUUUUGUGCCAUACAU